rnacentral:rRNA from 1 species
UACGGAGGGUGCAAGCGUUAUCCGGAUUCACUGGGUUUAAAGGGUGCGUAGGCGGGCCGGUAAGUCCGUGGUGAAAUCUCCAAGCUUAACUUGGAAACUGCCGUGGAUACUAUUUGUCUUGAAUAUAGUGGAGGUGAGCGGAAUAUGUCAUGUAGCGGUGAAAUGCUUAGAUAUGACAGAGAACACCCAUUGCGAAGGCAGCUCGCUACACUAUUAUUGACGCUGAGGCACGAAAGCGUGGGGAUCAAACAGG